rnacentral:rRNA from 1 species
UACGUUUUGAUUUUUAACUCUAUUUGUUGUAGUGUCUUAAACUUUUAUAUAUUUUUUACUUUAUUUUUUGUAAAAUGUUUUAAUUUGAUUUUGUUUUUUUAAGAUAUUAAAAAUUUGGUUUUUGAACUGGAUUAGUACCCAGGUAAUCAAAGUUUAUUAAUUCGGGAGUAAAGUUUUGUUUAAACCGAAAAAAUAUUGACUGACCUUAGAUUUUUCUUUGGAAUAUGUGUUUUGCUGGAGAGCCCUCUUUUUUGGUGAAUUUUGUUGGCACAUGUAUGAUUGUUUAGUUUUUAUUUUAUUUUGUAAUGCUUUUUGUGUUGGCAUUUAAAACAGAUAUAUACUUGGCUUAUAAAUUUAUUUUUCAUGUGUUACUAUUAUAAAUUUUUUUUGGAUUAAUUUUUUAUUUUUUUUUUGAAAUUGGAAAAGAAAGUAAUUUUUUCUUAAUGUUUUGAUGAAUUUAAUAAAUAAGGU